CCUACGGGGUGCAGCAGUGGGGAAUAUUGCGCAAUGGGCGAAAGCCUGACGCAGCGACGCCGCGUGAGGGAUGAAGGUCUUCGGAUCGUAAACCUCUGUCAGCAGGGAAGAACGGUCACUGUGGUAAUCAGCAGUGAAUUGACGGUACCUGCAAAGGAAGCACAGGCUAACUCCGUGACAGCAGCCGCGGUAAUAAGGAGGGGGGGUGAGUUAAUCGGAAUUACUGGGCGUAAAGCGCUCGUAGUUGGUAUGUCAAGUCAAGGGGGAAAUCCCCGCGCUCAACGUGGAAACUGCCUUUGAAACUGGCAGACUUGAGUAUGUGGGAGGAUAGUGGAAUUCGAGGUGUAGGAGUGAAAU
rnacentral:rRNA from 1 species